rnacentral:rRNA from 1 species
UACGAAGGGGGCUAGCGUUGCUCGGAAUGACUGGGCGUAAAGGGCGCGUAGGCGGAUGGCACAGUCAGAUGUGAAAUUCCUGGGCUUAACCUGGGGGCUGCAUUUGAUACGUGUUGUCUAGAGUGAGGAAGAGGGUUGUGGAAUUCCCAGUGUAGAGGUGAAAUUCGUAGAUAUUGGGAAGAACACCGGUGGCGAAGGCGGCUCACUGGCUCAUUACUGACGCUCAGGCGCGAUAGCGUGGGGAUCAAACAGG